AUGGAGAGCGGGCCGGCGGGCACGAUGGGGGGGCCGCUGAGUGACGUGCCGGCGAUGCUCGACGGCGACCGGUACGAGCUGGUCCGCAGCAUCGGGUCCGGCAACUUCGGUGUCGCCCGCCUCAUGCGCAACCGCGCCUCCGGCGAGCUCGUCGCUGUCAAGUACAUCGACCGCGGCGAGAAGAUCGAUGAGAACGUGCAGAGAGAGAUCAUCAACCACAGGUCGCUGCGGCAUCCCAACAUCAUCCGCUUCAAGGAGGUUAUUCUGACGCCGACGCAUCUCGCCAUCGUCAUGGAGUACGCCUCCGGCGGGGAGCUCUUCGAGCGCAUCUGCACUGCCGGCCGAUUCAGCGUCGACGAGGCUCGGUUCUUUUUCCAGCAGCUGAUAUCUGGAGUCAGCUACUGCCACUCCAUGCAAGUGUGCCAUCGUGACUUAAAGCUCGAGAACACUCUGCUGGAUGGAAGCACCACCCCUCGCCUCAAGAUAUGCGACUUUGGUUAUUCCAAGUCAUCGGUGCUACAUUCUCAACCAAAGUCAACUGUUGGAACUCCGGCAUAUAUUGCCCCUGAAGUUCUGCUCAAGAAAGAAUACGAUGGCAAGAUUGCCGAUGUGUGGUCCUGUGGCGUAACCCUUUACGUGAUGUUGGUCGGCGCCUACCCUUUCGAGGAUCCAGAAAAUCCCAAGAAUUUCAAAGUGACAAUUCAGAAAAUAUUAGGUGUUCAGUACUCGAUUCCGGACUAUAUUCACAUACCUAUGGACUGCCGAAACCUUCUCUCAAGGAUCUUUGUUGCCAACCCAGCUACGAGGAUCACCAUACCUGAGAUAAAGAACCACCCAUGGUUCCUCAAGAACCUCCCAGCUGACCUCAUGGACGGUCCCACAGUGAGCAACCAGUAUGAGGAGCCUGACCAGCCGAUGCAGAACAUGAACGAGAUCAUGCAGAUAAUGGCAGAGGCGACCAUACCGGCGGCCGGCGCCCUCGGAAUCAAUAAGUUCCUGCCUGACGGCCUUGACCUCGACGACGACAUGGACGACCUGGACUCGGACCUCGACAUCGACAUGGACAGCAGCGGGGAGAUAGUAUACGCCAUGUAG
rnacentral:rRNA from 1 species